ACCAGGACCACCAGGUCAAAAAGGGGAGGAGGGAAUCGCAGGUGCCAAGGGCAUCAGAGGUGUGGAAGGGAACAUGGGCGCACCCGGCAUCACUGGACCCAGGCUCUUACUGGGACAGUGGCGCGGCUGCCCCUCUGUUGGUCUUCCUUGGUCUCUUGUGUUCUGGGGACCUCUGGAUGUCUGGAGUUUUGAUCUCCUCCAUACCUGCUUCAUACCCUGGAGGACGGGGCUGUGGCUCCCCACACUCCCUAGCAGAUCGUUACAUGGAGAAACCUUUGGAAUGCAAGCAUGCUGAUCCACACAGGUAUGCACACAGGUGUACACAUGGGUAUUCACAGACGCGGACUACAGCUUUCUUGGCUGCUGCCUCAAAGCACAUUGUACGCUGUCUAUCUUGCGUGCUGCACAAUAUCGUUUAUUAUUUAGUAUCUACUGAUAUCUACUGCUAGCUAGUUUAUUGUGAUGGUGCCGUUUUUUUUUAUUAUGUUGCUCUUUGUUGUUUGCUUUCUCUUCUGUUUUUUUUCUCCAUACAGGUGACCCAGGUGUUUUGUUUUUUUUGUUUGUUUUUCUUUCUUUCUUCUCCCCCUUCUCACCGUCUCUUCUCCCCUUUGGUUUUCUUUCUCUCCCUCUCUUUCUUUCAUUCUUUCUCCCUGUCCUAUCCCCCAGUCAUGUCUGUCCCGUUUGUAGCAACUGAAAAUAAAAUAAAUUCAUAAUUAUAAUAAAGGUCAAUCAAAUGGACCAAUAUGGCAAGGCCAUGAUGAUCCACUUGGUAAAAUAAAUCCGCUUGGCAUCUUUCUUGGCCUUAAGACAACAAUUCUGAUGGCUAAAGAUCCAAACGGGACACAAAAAAAAAAAAAAAAAAAAAUUAAAGGAAUUUGAAAUGUACAUUGUGCCGGUGGGUUUGUUUAAUCAAACUUUGAAAUGAAAUACGGUCACUGUAGUUCAACACAGAAAACAACAUUCAGCUCAACUGCUGUUCAUUUGGUUCUUUUAUUUUUUAUACAGUGAGGUUGAAGUUGUUACCAAUUUAGCAAUUCCUAUUCAAUUAUUGGUAUCACUUUAAUUAAAUUCCUUAUCAAUUCUCUUAUUGAUACUCAUUGGAUUCUCAUUGGCUCCACUUUGAGAGUCACCACCAUUGCUAAGC
ensembl:lncRNA